rnacentral:rRNA from 1 species
CCCCAGACUCCUACGGGAGGCAGCAGUGAGGGAUAUUGGGCAAUGGGGGAAACCCUGACCCAGCGACGCCGCGUGAGGGAAGACGGUCUUCGGAUUGUAAACCUCUGUCUUUGGGGACGAAAAAGGACGGUACCCAAGGAGGAAGCUCCGGCUAACUACGUGCCAGCAGCCGCGGUAAUACGGGGGAUGCAAGCGUUAUCCGGAUUUAUUGGGUUUAAAGGGUGCGUAGGCUGUGAGGUAAGUCAGCGGUGAAAUGCCCCCGCUCAACGGGGUGAAGUGCCAUUGAUACUGCCUUGCUGGAAUGCGGAUGCCGUGGGAGGAAUGUGUGGUGUAGCGGUGAAAUGCAUAGAUAUCACACAGAACACCGAUUGCGAAGGCAUCUCACGAAUCCGCGAUUGACGCUGAUGCACGAAAGCGUGGGUAUCAAACAGGAUUAGAUACCCGAGUA